rnacentral:lncRNA from 1 species
UUCCUCAAAAAGUUUUUCUUCAAAUUUUUUUGUCAUUUCCUUAUUCGUUUUCUUUUUCCUUUUUCGAUUAUCAUCCUUAUUUGAUUUCCAUUUCCUUAUUCGAUUUUCAUUUCCUUAUUCGAUUUUCUUUUCCUUAUUCGGUUUCUUCUUCCUUUUUCAAUAUUCAUUUCCUUUUUCGGUUCCUAUUUCCUUAUUCGGUUUCUAUUUCCUUAUUGGAUUUUAAUUUCCUUAUUCGAUUUCCAUUUCCUUAUUCAAUUUCAUUUCCUUAUUCGGUUUCUUUUUUUUUUCAAUAUUCAUUUCCUUAUUCGGUUUCUAUUUCCUUAUUCAGUUUCUAUUUCCUUAUUGGAUUUUCAUUUCCUUAUUCGAUUUCCAUUUCCUUAUUCGAUUUUCAUUUCCUUAUUCGGUUUCUUUUUCCUUUUUCAAUAUUCAUUUCCUUUUUCGGUUUCUAUUUCCUUAUUUUCUUUCUUAUUGGAUUUUCAUUUCCUUAUUCGAUUUCCAUUUCCUUAUUCAAUUUUCAUUUCCUUAUUCGGUUUCUAUUUCCUAAUUGGAUUUUCGUUUCCUUAUUCGAUUUCCAUUUCCUUAUUCGAUUUUCAUUUCCUAAUUCGGUUUCUUUUUCCUUUUUCAAUAUUCAUUUCCUUUUUCGGUUUCUAGUUCCUUAUUCGGUUUCUAUUUCCUUAUUGGAUUUUCAUUUCCUUAUUCAAUUUCCAUUUCCUUAUUCGGUUUCUUUUUCCUUAUUCGGUUUCUUUUUCCUUAUUCGGUUUCUUUUUCUUUUUUCAAUUUUCAUUUCCUUUUUCGGUUUCUAUUUCCUUAUUCGGUUUCUAUUUCCUUUUUCGAUUUUCAUUUCCUUAUUCGGUUUCCAUUUCCUUUUUCGAUAUUCAAAUUUUGAAAAAUAUUACAAGUCCAAACUGAAUUUUUUUUUUCCUUCAAAUUUUUUUUUCCUCAAAAUUUUUUUUCC